GCACAGCGUCUGCUGUCCUUGUAUCAUUUCACUGAUAACGGCUCCCACUGAUAACGACUGAGGAACUCAUGAACUCAUGUAGGCCUAUACCGUACAUACACAUUCUGCUUUAUAUGUUCUAAAACUCAUUUUUAUUGUAGAGUUUUUGCAUAGUACGAAUCUAAAAGCAAUUAUCACACACACACACACACACACACACACACACACACACACACACACACACACUGCAGGCCUGAACAUCUUCAAUAUCCCCUCAAAGCACACACAAACUACUCCAUCCUACCACUAGAUGGAAGUAUUGUUCUAUGUAAGUACGCCAGCAAACGUCCCAAAUCUCUCCACAGAAAUUUCACACUUUUUUUCAGAUCAUGUUUGUGUGAAUAAACAGUGCAGCAUUAUGACGAAAUACACCUGUUUGGUGAAAUAUACAUCAGCGCCAGGGCCAAAGGAGAGAUGAACCGUUCUGUGAGGCGAGCUGUUGCCCUGAAGGCUUCAAUCUGACCUCUUAAGCAAAGCAACAAAACUCACACAAUCCAGCUGCAGAAACAAUGAGAGAAGAAUAACUACAGUACAGAUCUGGACGUAGAUUAUCAUGAGCAAACAAAGCCAGAUGACCCGUGCUGGCCCUGACGGCUAUUUUGGAUAUGUGUGGUAGAGUGGAGACAGAACAGGAUGGCUGUUAAAAUUCAGGUCACCCACUGCUGCACAAUAUGCUCUGACUUUAAGUUUUCUAUAUAGGAAUUAAUGUAUACCAAAAUUUGAAAUAUCACAAAAAC